CUAGGCCUCCCGUCAUUUACCUAAUAUAUAGAUACAUUAAUUAAAUAACAGAAAUUAAGAUAAUGAUAUCAAGCUCAUGGCAACUCAAGAGUUAUGAACACCUGCAACUACAAUGCUAACAUUAGUAGCUGAGCAAGCCUACCUAGCCAUGCAAAUUUGCUAGGAAAGAGUAAGGUGUUUGGGCUCAUGGCAUAUGAAGAGGCAAUAUAUUUU
rnacentral:lncRNA from 1 species